GUGUCACGUUAAUAGAUGAGUCUGUCAUAAUGACAUUUUAUAUUUGUUCUUCAUUUUAACUAUCAACAAGCUAGACAUGCUCAUCGAAUAAAAAUAGCUGAUGUGUACAGAGCACUCAGUGUGAGGCAGGUACUGUGUUAUGCAUUUAACAAGCAUUAUCUUAUUUCAUCAUUACUAUUUGUGGUAGGUCCUAUUCUGAUGGUCAAACUACAGAGCCAGAAACCGAGGAGGCUCAAGGAGGCAAAAGAAUGUGCUCCAGGCCCCACAGCAAUUAAGGGACAACAUCAGAAUUCAACAGGCUCUUAAUGAUUUCUCUAGGUCGCUUCCUAAUGCAGGCCGAGUUAGGUAUCCUGGUGACAUGCCAGUUGUAGUCAUGGGGGCAGAGGGGCCUCAGUGAACUAUUCCUGGUACCCAUGGUCGAGGCCACCACUGGCUUCAUCCCUCAUCCUUAAAUGCAGAUUGAGCUCCUCGCCUGUGUCAGCCAAUAUACUGGUUUCUGCCCACUCUCCCCAGCCCACUCCCACUCCCAACACCUCCAGGACCAGGAUCAGAUGGAAUGAUGAGGGAGAUGGGGGAACAUUUCUCUCCAGGCUGGUCAUGAAAUUAAUGCUGAGUAUUCUCCCUCAGCUCCUGUUUCAGGGGUUCUUCAGAGACCCCCCCCCUCCUGGUGCCCUUUGAUUGUAGCCCCAGUGACGUGAACAGGCCCGCUUCUUGGGGUCCCCUCCCCCUAGCAGGCUCCCUGUAGGGCAGAACCUCUUGGGCAGCAGGUGGACAGUCCUAUCCCAGAUUUUACACCUGUUGAAGGAGACAAUGAACUUUUGACUGAGGAGUGGGUUGGGCCCGGGUCACCUGUGCUCCCCAACUCCAGGUGACAUUUAUCAAGUUCCCCUGUGUUCCUGCUGAAGCUCCUCGUAUGAGGAUCACCAGAGAAAGGGGAAAUUCCUCCUACUCUCCCUCUUGGCGGCAAGGUGGGGGGAAUAUUUUAAGACACAGAGUCCAUAAUUCCCUCUCUUUUUCAUGUCUAGCACUGUACUGUUAAGACCCUCAAAUUAGAAGAGAGAAUUGAGUCACAAGUAACCAUUUUCCAGUCAUUUUCUUCCUAAAUUCUGCAUCUGGUCCAAUGCCUUCUUUAGAAGGCUGCUGCCAUGAUAGCAGGUGGAACCUUCAAAAACUGCCAAGAUUGAACCACCUUUUACCUACCACAACUGUGAUUUGCUGUUGUUCCACUGUUUAUUCCACUAUCUUGGUGCCUCCUUGGUGCUUUGGCUGAAAUGUCCACUUUAAUAUCCUGUUACACUAACAACAAACAUCAACCACGCCUCUUAGAUGCCCAGCCUUUUCUAGGCACUGGGGAUGCAGAAAUGAACCAGCCUAGAUCCCCUCCCUAGCAUCAUGGGUGCAAAGGGUACAGGAGAUCAUCUAGGUUGGAACUGUGGCUCUGCCCCUUCCCAGCUUUUAGAAGGCACCUUUCCCUUAAUCUCCAGCUCAGAACAAUGAGGCUCCCAACCUGAGUGUUGCAGGAGGCCCAGACUCUCCUAGGAUGUCCCAGGUUCACGGGUGGUGGGGGCCUGUGGUAGGGACAUGCUCUCAGCCUCCUGCUUGCUGCUUUUCUCCUCUGGCUCUGAAGAGCUGAUCAAAGCCAGAUGGCCUUAGAUGUGUGCUGAUAUACAGCAGCCACCAGGCACAUGCAGCCACAUGUGGCACAGAGCACUGGAAAUGUAGCCAGUCCCAACUGCAAUGCACUGUCAGUAUAAAACAAGCACUGAUUCCAAAGACUUUGAACAAAGAAAAAGAAAUUGUAAAUAUCUUAUUAAUAAAUUAAAAAUAUUGAUUACACACUGAAAUGUAAUAUUUCGGUUAUCUUGGGUUAAAUAUAAUAUACUAUUAAAAUUAAUUUCACCUUUUUGGGUACCUUUUUUUUUUUUUAAUUUUUAAAAAAAUUUUUGGCCGUACCUCAAGCGGCAUGCGGGAUCUUAGUUCCCUAACCAGGGAUGGAACUUGUGCCCCCUGCAGUGGAAGCAUGGAGUCUUAACCACUGGACUGCCAGGGAAGUCCCUAAAUUUUUUAUUUUUAAUUUAUUUAUUUUUAUUGAAGUAGAGUUGAUUUACAAUGUUGUGUUAAUUUCUGCUGUACAGCAAAGUGAAUCAGUUAUACACAUAUAUACAUUGUUUUCUAUAGUCUUUUCCAUUAUGGUUUAUCCUAGAAUACUGAAUAUAGUUCCCUGUGCUAUGCAGUAGGACCUUGUUGUUUAUAUGUUCUGAACAUUUGGUACCUUUUUAAUGUGGCUCCUGGAAGGUUUAAAAUUACACAUGUGGCCGGCCGGCAUUAUGUUUCUACUGGAUACUGCUGCCUUAGGCUCUUCAAAUACAGCACACUCUCUCUGCCUCAUAAAUAAUCUUACGGUGUCCUCACAGUGACAGAAGGCCUGGGCUUUCUCAGAAAUACCAAAGUAUAGCAACUACCGUGCUUGGCCAUCUGCUCUGUGCUGUGUUCUCGGUGUGCAUUGUUUCACUUAAUUCUCACAGCAACACUAUUGGGGGAGGGGGGACUAUGACUCUGCCCAUUUCCAGAAAAGGAAAACUAAGGCUGGGCAAAGUUAGGUCACUUAGCCAAAGCCACAGGGAGAGUAAGGGCAACAGCAGGAGGCAGCAGAGGACACUGGAGCUGUGGGCACACCUGACCCCUUUGUCCAGUAUCCUUCCAGCCACAGCCUCCUCCCAGGUACAGAAGAUGGAGUGUUCUCACCCUCAGAGACACCCCCCCGCCAUUUCCUUCUCCGUUGCAUCCGUCAGGCCUGGAUUUCCACAUUGUGCUGACUUAGUGAAGUGCCAGGAAUCUGAAGUGGGGAGACGCUUGCUCGGACACAAGGUGGGCUGUUUGCACUUCAGAAUGUGGACCAAGUUAGUGGCAGCGUAUCUAAGAGAUACACCCGGCCCAGGAUGCAGGCAGUGUUAGUGCUUGUGGGAUUAGGGGCCGUGAGCCCCCCUCUCAAGCCUCUCUGCCGUGCCAUCCGGAGCAUGGGACCUCUGUCUGUCUUCUCUGGCACCAUGCAAAUCUGACCAGGUCCCCUAAAUGCAAAUUUGAUCAAGUCCCUCUGAUUCAAGACUGCUUUUACUUUUAGGAUGACGUUUUAGCAAAGCACCUGCCCACCUCUUGACAAGGCUUAUCUCCUUGUCACCCUCGUGUUCCAGUUUCAGGUCAUCUGAACAAUAUUUUAGUCUGGUGAUGUGUCCAAAUAAUUAUACAGCCAGAAUUCAUUCAUUUGUUCAACUGUGCCAGCCACUAAACUGAAUACAAUGGUCAAUCGGACAAGAUCCCUAUUGUCCAAACUCAACACAAUACAUGAGUUCUUCAACCUAAAUAUCCAUCAACAGAUGAAUGGAUAAAGAUGCGGUACAGAUAUACAAUGGAAUACUACUCAGCCAUUAAAAAGAAUGAAAUAAUGCCAUUUGCAACAACAUGGAUGGACCUGGAGAUUGUCAUACUGACCGAAGUAAGUCAGACAAAGACAAAUAUCAUAGGAUAUUGCUUACAUGUGGAAUCUUAAAAAAAUGAUCAAACAAACUUAUUUACAAAACAGAAACACACUCACAGACUUACAGAACGAAUUUAUGGUUACCAGCAGGAAAGGGUGGAAGGGGAGUUAUAGAUUGGGAGAUUGGGAUUGACAUGUACACACUGCUAAAUUUAAAAUGGAUAACCAACAAGGACCUACUGUAUAGCAGGGGUAACUCUGCUCAAUACUCUGUAAUAACAUAAAUGGGAAAAGAAUUUGAUAAAGAAUAUAUAUAUGUAUCUGUAUAACUGAAUCACUCCGCUGUACACCUGAAGCUAACACAACAUUAUUAAUCAACUAUACUCGGAUAUUAAAAAAAAAAGAGAGCUUUUCCUAAUUAAAGCUCCUCAUGUGGAAGAGUCACCAUUCCUACAAAUUAAUGACAAAUCAGUGACAACAAACAGAACACAAAGAAAAGCAAAACAGGUGAAGGAAUGUUAUUUUCAAAAUUUCAGACUGCUUCUGGAAAUUACCAAGUCAUCCCGACACAGAACUCAGGCUCCGCUCCACCAGAGGUCGCUGCAGGACCGCGCGCAAGUGAUCCGCUCCCGGCGACGCCGCUCUAGGCCGCAGGCCUCGUCUCUGCUGCAGUUCCGCCGCCGCUGCGCGGGUGGAGGAGGUUACCGACUCCGGUGGUUUCUGUUUCUCUUGGAUCCACGCCAUCUCCCAACAUCCGCGGACAUUCGCACCUUCCCGCACUGUCUGCGGUGUUUCCGCCUCUGUCCCGUGCCAUCUCUCACGGCGCCCCGGGUGCGUUACUGAGGGGAGUGCUGGGCACGUGGUCUGCUCCGCCGCCCUCCACCCUAAGGGGAAACUGAGGCCCGAGGGGGCGGGGAGCGCCGCAUGUCGACUUCUCGGCCCUCGUGUCUUUGACAAAGAGGCCUCGGGUCACCGCGCCACCGGUCGGCGCCGUCUCGGAACCUCACCCGCCCCUUGGGGAGACUUGUGCCCGCUGAUGUCGAGAGACCGGUCGGGUGACGCGUGGGCCCGAGGUCCCGCAGGGGGUCGUGCAGAGCCCGUGUGAACCUGGCCCGAGGGGCGCCAGAGCCCCUGAUUCACUGCCUAUCACCUCCGACUCCAGCGUUUCAGGCCCCAAAGCCGCUCGUCGGUUACCGGCCAAAUACUCUGGUAACCGUUAGCCCAUUUCCCCUUAAUAAGCUUUAAGGGAAAGUGUUGAAACCUUCAUUUUCCAAACGGGUGUUUGAGCUUUAAAGUGAGGGCGCCCCAGGGCCCCCGAGGGGCAGAGUCUGGCUUCCUGGCCCUGCUUCACACUGGAGCCCUUCCGCACCCUUUCUCUGGCCGGGCCCCGCGCUGCUUUAGACCCUCCCGCGAACGGCGUUGCCGCGCCUGCCUCUGCCGGCGCCCCUCCUGUCCUGCAGGAGCCUGAGCCGCGCUGCCUGCUGCGCCCCACUGUGUCCGGGGGUUGAGCUGUCCCUCGGGCAAGUGCAGCUCCUGAAGGCCUUGAGCUGGGGGCCGUGGCCUUCCUGCCCCGCCGCAGAGUGCCUGGUCCCUGGGCCCAGGGGGUUCUGGGAACUGUCUUGCAAAGCCUUGUGCAGGAGGGUGGGGCCGGGUUUGGGGGCCAGAAAGGCCUGAGUUCAGACGCUGACGCAGCCGCUGGUUAGCCGUGGAACCUCGGGAGUGUCACAUGGCUGCUGUUGCAUGAGAUGUGUCGUCAGGGAGAGCCGGGACUGAGUCCCAGCUGGGUCUGUGUGCACAGAGGCUCCACAGGAGGCGUCAUCUUCGUGUCAGCCAGGUGCUAGGCCCUGGGGCCCCAGGAGCCGCCAGUAGUGUCGAAUACGUGGAGAAAGAAAAAUAAAGGUCAGCGUUAGAUCUGGAGAUCACCGAGGAAGUCCCAAGGCCAUGAGUCAGUGACUUUGGGGUGACUUGGGAUCUGGCAUUGCUGGUAUUUCUCCCCAAGAUUCCUUUUGUUCGUGGACACCGGCGGGGCAGAGAAUGGAGAGUGCAGUCCACACAUGAAGAGCUCCCCGCCGCCUGCUCAGAGUGUCACGGGAGCACUGUUCACUCUGCACGAGAAAUCAGGGCAAAGCGCUGGGACUGGGGGCUCGGGGUCCCCUUCAGCUGGCUCUGAGUCCCGACAGCAGUGCCCUUGGACGCCGUGGACAGGAAGGCCGGUCCCCGUCCCUCUGCCAUGCCUGCGUGACUUCAGUGACCAAGAGUUUUUCUCUUGAGUUGGCAGCUGCUCAUCAUCAUCACUUUUCCCUCCACCCAUCCAUUCAAUAAACCGUAUGCACCGAGCCCACCUGUGUUUUAAGUCAGUAACAGGCCACGUGCCAGUGAGGCUGGGCAGGGAGAAAGUGGGUCACAGGCCAAAUCCUGUUUUCACUCUGAGCCUUUCCGUCCUGCUCCUGAGGCUUGGCACGUGGGCUGUUUGAGGUGUUCUGUUAGGACGGGGGUGAACAAACGCUGGUGGUGGGCUCAGGUUAGGACCUGUGGGAGUUGAGGGCAUUGAGGAACAGUCAGGCCAGGGCUUGGGAAGGGUGAUGGGGAACCGGAGUGAGACAGGUGCUGAUGUCAUUGGGGAAGCUGUGGGUGCCUGGCUCAGGAGUACGCACCUGCUUGUGUGACCAACUGGCCUAGUUUGCCUGGAAUUGAGGGGUUUCUCAGACAUGGGACUUUUAUUGCCAAAACCAGGAAAGUCCUGGGCAAACUGGAACAAGUUGGUCAACUUACCUGGGUGUAAAAUACAUGGUGUCAACUUGAGAGGACAGGUUACUGAGUAAAGGUGAGAAUGGUGAACGUGGAGCUGCCAUUGGUGGACUCAGUCUUUUGGAGGUAAUUGGGAUAAAAUCAACAGUUGCACUGAGCACAUGUAUGUGAACUUUUGAAUCUCCAUUUUAUAGAUGGAGGAGUCUACAUGAGGAAGUAUGUCCCAAAGGCUGUGAUGAAAGGCUCUACUUAAUUGCCCAGUUCCUGCAUUUGGAAUUGAAACCACCUUGGCUGAGCUGAGGCAGGAUUCAGGCUGUCAGGCCUGCCUGGUGGCUUUGACACCCUGAAGGUCUGUGCAGGGGCAGGCAUUCUUCACGGCUGAAAUGUUCUGCCCUGCUAGCCAGUUCCUGGUAGAGGCAUCCAGAAGCGGGAAGUCCUUUUUCUGUCUCACUCCAAGGACUAUCCUCUGACUUCUGUUUGCCACCUUUAUUCAGCUGGUUGUAGCUGCCUAGAAAGGUGCCAAGAGAAGGAGUCUGGGCCCGCUGGAGAUAUAGCCGUGACUGAGCGCGAUGUCUGCUGCCACACAGGAGCAGGACACAGGCCAGUCCUUAGCAAAUGUCCUGGGGCCACCGGGCACUGGUGGUCAUGCUGGCCCUGCUCUGCCGCAGCGUGCGAAGCGGGAGCCAUCCCAGGUCCGUAGGGCCUGAGGACAUCUGAGGAGAGCAUCCAUCCAGGGUGACCCAGGAACCAGGCUUAAGGUCAAUAAGGCACAGACCUUGGCUGGGAAACUAGGCCUCACUGGAGCAGCUGGUGGGAGAUUAACCAGACAUCAUAUGAGACAUAGGGGUACAAUGGUGAAUAAGACAGUUUGUGCCCUAAAAGUGGUCACCAAUAAAUAUAUAGAUAAUGUCUCCACACACCAAACGUUACAGGACAUGCACUGCUGGGCACUGUAGGUGUUGGGGAUGCAGCUUUAAACAAAACGGGGUGCCUCCUGGAGUCUGUUUAGAACUGCUGUCCAUUAUGGCAAGCCACCAGACACUUGGGGCUAUUUUAAUGUAUUUAAAUAAAACUUUUAAAAUUCAGGUCUUCAGUUUUAUCAGCCACAUUUCAAGUGCUCAGUAGCCACAGGUAGCUGCGGGGUUGGACAGUGCAGAUACAUAGAAUAUUCCCAUCACUGCAGGAAGUUCAGACGGCACCAGUCUAGAAAAUAAGGAGUUGAAUUCCAUGAAAGGAAUUGCUAGGACACCUUUACAGAAAGGCUGUCAUUUGAGGAGUCCAAAGAGGGCUGCUGUGCCUGGCACUGCAUUCCUGUGAUUAUGAGUGGGGGGUUGGGUAAAUAGGGGGCAUCAGCCUGGAGGGGGUGUGAGAGCACUGGCUUCCGAGUCACAGACCUGGGGUCUAACCCAGCAGGGUGACAUAAUGUGAGUUUCCAUCACCUGACCUCCGUUUCCCCUUGUGAAAUGAGAACCACACCUCCACAGGAAUAUGGUGAGGUAAGGAUUAAACAGACUUGUAUGUGGAAGCCUGUGUAGGGUGUGGCUUCACAAAGUGUUCAAUAACUGAUAGCUAUUAUUAUUUACUGAAGUUUCCUCUUCAAUUUUUUUUUGUCUUUUUUCGGCCUUGAGGCUUUCAGGGUAUAGCCUGUGAUGCUGAAGUUUCCAGGAAAGCAAAAAUAGUUCCCCUCCUUUUACAACUUAAGGUGUCACAUGAGUGUCCCAAGUUCUCCAGCCUUCAGGAGUCACCCUUUCCUUGAACAUCCACUGAAUAUCAGCUCCCAGAUCUGCAGGAAAUCCAUUCAAGAGCCCAGUACAUGCUGAUGUGUUUCCAUAGAUCCAUCCUGUAGCUGUUGCAUUUUUCUCUGAAUGGCUCCAUUGUGCCAGGCCUCUUUGUGGUCACCUACAGCCAUUUCUUCACCUCUUCUCCCAGUUGCUGUUCUUUCCCUAAGCUAUUUUGCUCUGAACAUCCUCUGAGCAGGCAUGGCUGGCUCCAGGACAGCACACACUCCAAACUCUGGCCUGAUCUUGUUUCUGCCUCAGAAGCAUGUGGUGCUGUGGCCUCAGAUGCCAUCAGGGUGUCUUCUAGCUCAUCCAGGCAGGCCUGCUCUCAAACGUUCAGCUGGGAGAAUGUGACAAUUUUCUGGAGUUUGAUAAUCUUCCAUCUUCCUUGGUGAUCCACUGAUGGUCUCACAACCCAGCUGAAUACUUAUAUUCAAUCCCAGGAGAUUCUGAGAAGGUGUUGGUUUGUAGAGGAGAAAAGAUGGGAGAUGAUGGGGAGGAAGAGAAGAUGUGGGGAAGCCAGAGAAGAGAGAAAGAGGAAAACAUAUUACAACUUAACCCAAUUUAACUCAAACUUGAAUGUGCAUCCAAGUCACCUAGAAGGCUUGUUAAAGCACAGAGCGCUGGAUCCCACCUCAGAGUUUCUGAUUCAGAUUGCUGUGAGCAUUAAAUGAGCUAAACCAUGAAAAGCACAUGUCCAGCACCUACUAAGGGCUCUGUAAAAAGGUUCCCCUCAUGGGAAGAGGUGGGGGGCACUGGACCACCUGCGCAAGAAUCUACUGAAAGACUCGAUAAACGUGCAGACACCCCAGUACCCCUGAGAGUGUGGGCCAGGAAUCUACGUGAUUAACCAACAGCAGUGUGACCAGUUGUCUACUUGUCUACGUUCCUUCCAAGACAUGGCCAGUAGAUGGCGGUGCAGUCUGCACUUUCAAUGCAGCUUCCGCAUUUCUGGAAAGAUCUCCCUGUGAAACUUCCUGUGAAUUCAAGUUAACAUCCACCAGGAGAGCUUGGCUGCUUAAGCUGCUCUCCCCUCCUGUCCCUUCGGAGUGACUUCUCUUGAUGCCCCAGGACCUCAAAGUGGUCAGAACUCACUUGGAAUUUCCUAAACUCCUCUUGGUGAGAGACCCCUCUUUCUGAAGAGCUAGCCAGCAACUGUAAAAUAAUAAUACCCCAACUAGCAUUUUCUGAGAACUUACUGUGUGACUAGCAAGACUCUCACUUUCUCAUUUAACUCUCACAGCUACCCCGGAGAAGGAGAUUGUUAACCUUCCCACAGUCACACAGCAAGUUCCCAUCACUACCUCCUGUUUCCAUCUUGGCUGGAACUUGUGCUUCAGUCAGAGGAGCAGACGGGGAGCAAUAAUGUCUGUGUCUCAGGCCCAGGCUCUGAGAGCUUGGGGAGCGUCCUGAGAAAGGAGAGGAUGCCCUUCCCUGCCUUGGGGGCCAGGGUGACCAGGCAGGGAGCUGCAAGGGACAGACACUGGGUCAGUCCCCUUGUUAAGGGGGCUUCAACUGUUUAGGGAGGCAGAUACGACAUGGGUCACAGCACAUGGAGGGCCAGUGGGCAGGCUGUCUAGAGACUCUGAGAGGCUGGAGGGACUGGGGGGCUUUCAAAGGCUGGGGGUGAAACCGCACAACUCAGAUUGGGAUUUGAACCCAUGGGCCGGGACUCAAACCUGGCCAAAACCCAGAUGGGGACUUGAAUCCACUGUCUUUUAAUUAAAAUCACAUAUCUGGUCUCAGGACCUACUGAAGUUCAGGGUCUUUAUGUCUCAGCAAUUCAGUGAGAGACAAAGCAAUAGGUAAAAAGUGGAUUUACUUAGAGGAAUACACAUUCCAUAGACGGAGUAUGGUAUGUCUCAAAAGGCUAGAGUGGCCCUGGCAGAAACACACUCCACAGACAGAGUGUGGGCCAUCUCAGAAGGCGAGAGGCCCUGAAAUAUGGGGUGGUUAGUUUUUAUGGGCUGGGUAAUUUCAUAGGCUAAUGAGUGGGAGGAUUAUUCCAACUAUCUUGGAGAAGGGGCAGGGAUUUCCAGGAAUUGGGCCACCGCCCACUUUUUGGCCUUUUAUGGUUAGUCUCAGAACUGUCAUGGCCCUGCUGUCAUUUAGCAUAUGCUAAUGUAUUACAAUGAGCAUAAAAUGAAGCUCAAGGUCUACUGGAAGUCGAAUCUUCUGCCAUCUUGGACCUAGUUGGUUCUUACCAGUUUAUGUCACAUCCAAAGGCUAUGUCAUUCUUUUAAAGGUUGUGCCCUGCCCGCUUCCCACCUGUUUCAGGGGGACACUGUGGGACAUUCAGUCUGUGUAAUGCUCACAAUAGAGCAAAUCAUACUUGUUGAAUUUGUUUCUGCUUAUUUAAUCCUUUUCUAAGACGACUGAGGGAUUUUCAAGGGAAGGGAUCCAUGGUAUCGGGGAGGAUGGUGUGAAAUGAGCCUGGAGACGUGGACAGGUAAGAAUGUUCACCUGGAGAUGUGGGCAGGUGGGGAUUUUCACCAAUGGGUGUGGUCAAGGGAAUUGUCCUAGAAAGCAGAGAAGGAGAUCUGGAAGGCAUCCUUAUCAAUAUGUACUUCUGUUGAGGUCAACGCUGCACAUUGUUUAUGCAAGACCUCAACUCCCCUUCUUCGUUGUUAGCAGAACCCUGGAUUAGUUGAAGUGACCACCUGCCCAGCUAAAGAGCUACAUUUCCCAGCACUGGCAGCUAGUCCUGGCCAAUGAGAUGUGAGCCAACAAAGCUGGGCUGGUGUAUUAGUCUGGAUUCAAUCAGGAGAGAAAAACUGCAUGGUAAUUUGAAUAGGGAAAGUGUAAUAUAAAGAAUUAUUGACUGUAACAGAGGAUUGAAGUAAUGAGGGGUUGCCUAGUGAGAGGUAAAGAGAACUCAAGAAUACAGGUGAAGUAGCAGAUAUAAGAAGCAAUCAUGACUCUCAGGGCUGAGAAAGAGCUUGCCCUCCCCUAUGCCCUCCCCCCAGUGCUGAGGUCCAGACUUUGUUGGAUUGGGCACAGCUGUGGUUCACUGAACAGCAGAGAAGUUACUGAGGUCUGCCCUGGUGGAACUUGCCAGAAAACUGCCCUCUAUCUUCCCAGGGAAAGCUAUCCUGAUACCACUGAGGUAUCUCAAUGGAAGCACUUGAAUACAAAAUUGCCAAAGGUGGGGUUCCUGGGGGAAGCUACUGGCCUUUCAGUGCUUCUGGCUGCUGUAGACUAUAGGAACAGGUGCUGGAGCAGCUGCCUGCGCUGUAGGAGGCUGCUGAGUGACCCACCUGAACCAGGAAAGGGUGGGCUCCUGGAAGAGCCCUCUAAAAGGGAUUAGAUUUGGCUAGUUUGUCCCUUUUGCACUUUGAUCUUCCCUUUCUUCCUGCAUCCUGGAUCCAGAAUGAAGAGGACUUGGCACAGAGCUGCA